rnacentral:lncRNA from 1 species
AUACAUUAGUACCUUGAAAAAUAUCAAAAUAAAUCACAAUAAGUAUACUUAAAUUAAAAAUGACACUCGUUUUCUUUUGUAGUUAAGGCACACUGUGACUUUUGUGCGUUGUCACAACUUUAAGGUUCGAGAAAUGUUGGGAGACUUAAAGGUGGGGGUUCGCCUAAAUGUAAAUUAUAUUAAAAGAACAACGACGCAAAAUACAUAAAGGUGACCAGAAUUAUGGCAGUAAAUACGUGUUAUAUUUCAUUUGGGCGAGUAGUUUUGACUUUAUAAAUAUAUUUUAU